rnacentral:rRNA from 1 species
CCUACGGGGGCAGCAGUGGGGAAUAUUGGGCAAUGGGCGCAAGCCUGACCCAGCAACGCCGCGUGAGGGAAGAAGGCUUUCGGGUUGCAAACCUCUGUCCUUGGUGACGAAAAAAAUGACGGUAGCCAAGGAGGAAGCCCCGGCUAACUACGUGCCAGCAGCCGCGGUAAUACGUAGGGGGCGAGCGUUGUCCGGAAUUACUGGGCGUAAAGGGUGCGUAGGUGGCCUUUUAAGUUGGAUGUGAAAUACCCGGGCUUAACCUGGGGGGUGCAUCUAAUACUGGGAGGCUAGAGUGCAGGAGAGGAAAGCGGAAUUCCUAGUGUAGCGGUGAAAUGCGUAGAUAUUAGGAGGAACACCAGUGGCGAAGGCGGCUUUCUGGACUGUAACUGACACUGAGGCACGAAAGCGUGGGGAGCAAACA